AAAUCAGCUGGUUGACAACAGUUGGUUGGUUGGUUGAUUGUAACCAGACAAAAAAAAACAUCAUCAUCGUUUGUUGAAACACAAUUGAUUUAAUUUUAUCAUCGUUUAUCGUGAUUACUAUAUUGUUGUUGUUGUUGUUGUUAUUGUUUUUGGUUCUGGUUUCCGUGAAUGCAUUAACAUUGAUUUUAAUUUUUCAGGAGCAAACAAAUAUUACCACCUUUUGAUUAUUAAUCAUCAAACAAUGAUAAUGAUUAAUUGAUGGAAAUAUCAAUUAUUAUUUUUGAUUUUCUAUUAAAUUUGUAUUAAAUUCCAAUCAUUUUACGUGUGAUUGAUUGACAAAAUUCAUUCCCCUUUAGUAUUUCAGCUUUUUUUUUAUUUGUUUUUAUCAUAACAAAAAAAAAUGGUUCGCGAUCGUCUUGCCGAAUUCCGAAAGCGAGCCGGAAUAAAUGAUGAUGAUGAACAACAAGAACAAUGUACGGUGAUGAUAACAUCAAUGGAUACGGAAAAAUUCAUUGAAAAAGUAGAAAACAUCCGUAAUGCCAUUGAACAGAUGGAAAAUCUAAUUAAAGAGAUGAAAGAUUAUCAUUCACGAAUGCUGCUAUCGGCUAAACCGGAUGAAAAAACGAAAAAAGCAUUGGAAGAUGUCAACAUAAAUUUCAAAAUGUUAUCGAAAAAAUCAAAAGAAAAUCUAAAAUCAUUGGAAAUUGAAUGUCAACAACCAAAAGAUGCAAAUUCUGCUUCAUAUCGUAUGCGAACAGUACAAUAUCAAACAUUACGGCAACAAUUAUUGGAUGUAAUCAAUUCAUACAAUUCAUCACAGGUUGAUUAUCGUACAAAAUGUAAAGAAUUAUUACGGCGACAAAUAGCAAUCACUAAUCAAGAUAUUGAUAAUGAAGAAUUGGAUAAAAUUCUUGAUAAUCCUAGUUCAGAAAUUUUCAUUCAAAGUCUUCUAACUGAAACACGUGAAGCACGUGAAAAAUUGGAAGAAAUUCAAGCAAGACAUGAAGAUAUACUUAAAAUUGAGAAAAGUAUUCGUGAAUUACAUGAAAUGUUUGUCGAUAUGGCCACAUUGGUCGAAAAUCAAGGUGAAAUGAUCAAUCGAAUUGAAAAUCAUGUACAAGAAACGAAUGAUUAUGUGGAAAAAGGUCGUGAACAAACAAAACAGGCAAUGGAAUAUCAAACUAAAGCUCGAAAGAAAAAAAUAAUAAUCAUCAUAAUCAUAUUGAUACUCAUUUCCCUGUUGAUCGGUUAUCUUGUUUGGACAUUUAAAUGAUGAUGAUCAAUAAUAAUAAAUCAUCAUCAACCCCAAUUUACUAUAUUUCAUAACGCUAAGUGCAAAAUUUAUAUUGCAAUCAUUUUGAUCGUUUUAGUAUUGCUGAUUGUUUGGGCAUCAUUCUAUUGACCAUCGCAGCGAAAUCAUUUUCAUCAAUUUUUUUCGGGCAAUUCUGUAUGAUUGUUAUUAAUGCUGCGGCUAUACCUGUGUAUUAUCAUAUUGCGUCACAACACGUUAAAUAUAUUUAUUAUUCACUCAUAGAAUUUCAAAAAUAUUCCGGAAUUUACAUACGAACAAACUUUUUUUUUUAAUC